GUGCUUGCUUCAUCAGCACAUAUACUAAAAAUUUGGAAUGAUACAGAGAAGAUUAGUAUGACCCCUCGGCAAGAAUGACACACAAAUUUGUGAAGUGUUCCAUAUUUUA
ensembl:snRNA U6 U6 spliceosomal RNA